rnacentral:rRNA from 1 species
UACGGGGGGUGCGAGCGUUAAUCGGAAUAACUGGGCGUAAAGGGCACGCAGGCGGACUUUUAAGUGCGGUGUGAAAUCCCCGGGCUGAACCUGGGAAUUGCAUUUGAUACUGGGAGUCUAGAGUACUGUAGGGAGGAGUAGAAUUCCACGUGUAGCGGUGAAAUGCGUAGAGAUGUGGAGGAAUACCGAAGACGAAGGCAGCCCCUUGGGAAUGUACUGACGCUCAUGUGCGAAAGCGUGGGGAGCAAACAGG